CCGAUGCACUGGCCGCGCGCUUCGACGGAGUCGCGCUCGUGAGCGCGCACGACUCUCUUCGCGGCUCUUCCUCGACGAGCCGCACGAGCUGCAAUUCGGCUGCUCCUCGACGGAAAUCAUUAACGGCAUACGGAGAAUUGCCGUUAAUGUCAGAUACGAUCGUGUCUAGCACCGCGAAUCACUUUCAUCACCUCAUAAUUUCUGAAAAGCGUGAAGCAUCGUUCCCCAGCUGCGUCCUCGCAGAUUUUCCGAGAACUCUUGUAAAUCUCUCGCUGUGGUUUUACUCGAUGGUACCAAGUGCAGAUUACAGAGAAAAGUGUGGCGAAGAAGAAGAAGGCCGCGAAGUAGCAGAAGAAAAAAAUUAUGCUUUCGUGCACGAUGCGUCCAGGUUUCUUCCGCUUUCGCGACAAAGCGUGCUACUGUGCACCUCGCGGAAAGCAGCAACGUAAUAAUUCGAGAACGGAGACGUACGGCCGAGCAUGUACCGCUAUUCUCUGGCUGACCGGAAUCACUGCUCUGGAACAGGCACGGUAUCGUCUCUUGGCUCGAGAGUGGAAGCACGUUGAUCUCCAGCGUGUGUAACGCACUCGAGUAAUGGUAAUGUGGCGAGUCGCAGCUCCAGUAUGGCUUUCAAUUGUUAUAAUUCACUCUCCUUAGAGGGAUCGAACAGUUAAAUUAAUGCAAUUAAGUAAAAGAACUACUGCAUGUUUAAAGAAACAUGCCGUUUUUAUAUAUAUUAUAUAGCGACUUUAAUAUAUAUUAUUUCGUUACAUGCUUUCGAAAGGAUAAAAUCUGGACUUUGCAUUGCAACGCUGUUCUACACUCGAUUUUAAGUUGCUUACCUUUGAGAUUCCUUUCUAAACGUCGUUACUAGGUGCAAAAAUAUUAGGUCAUUAACUAAGCAAUCCAGAUCGUAUCUUGAUGGCGAUACAAAUAUUCUAACAACGUUUGCAGAAUUCUGUUUUUUAUUUUUUAAAGGCGUAGCUGCCUAUUCUGUUAUAAAAUUAAUAUACAACAAGUUAUGUUAUGCAUGUCAUAUAUUAAGUUCACUCGCUAUUUAGAGCCGGAUUACUUAGUUAAUGAACUAAUAAUUGCGAUUUUUGCUAUUAGCAAAAUAGAAUAGUGGAAACUGCACAAUUAUUUUUUACAUCAAUUAAAAAAUUUUUUGCACCAAUUUAGUAAAUCUCCCCAAUUUAAAUAUGAAUAUUUUUUCCUGUCGAUAUGCGAUCUUGCUUUAUCUUAUGCUAUCUCCGAUAUCAGCGCACGCAUGAUUCUCACGUACGAAUAUUGUAACAUCAGCGAAAGCGGUAUUGCGCAUUCUUUCCUGUGACGAUCGUUAUCUGAUCGAUUUAUCGGGGAACUUAAUUUAUAAUAACGGCACGUGCCGGCCACACUCGCAUAACAUAUGUGAAACACAUAAUAACUCGAACGAGUAGAAUAUCGGGGUGACCAAUUAACACGAGGAAGAACCAAACUCUUCCGAUAAUGAGAGGAGAGACUGCCUAUUCACGGGCUACUUUCAUUUAUACCAGAAGAACGGCCAUUUUUUUACCGACUUCUCUGUUGGGAAAGAAACUAUUGCGCCGAUCUCAAUAAUAGUUCCGAACGAUCGAUCUAUUAUAAUUAUGCCAGCAUCGUCCAGACUUAUUCUAGUUACGUCAUCAAUUGCGUCCUUCGAUCAAAUUGUUAUUCCUCGAUGCACGUAAUUAAUUUUCCAGCAACCUUCAAAGUGUACAAUGUAUUGUCUUCGUCUUUGAUCACGUAAUAAGAAAAUUGUCUUGAACUUUAUAGCAUUUAUAUUUUUCAUCAAGGAAAACCUAGCCUUAGUAUUGAUUUACUUUGAAGUAGUAAAUGUCUGAUUUAACAAUAAGAGGAAGAUUGUGGCAAGCAUCGUAUUAAGAUCUAUCUACUAAAGUUUACACAAAAAGUUUACAUAGGAAUCUUAAUUCUCUUUGAUAAAAAGAUUCUUAUUCUCGUGUUACUUUGUUAUUAUAUUAUGAAGAAUUUUUAAUUCUUUAAAUAAGAUUAUAUUGUAAAUCACGUAUUAUUCUUUACUAUACGUAAUACAUGAUUAAACAAUAUAUUCUAUGAUUAUACAUAAUACAGAGAACUAUGUUUCUAGAUAUCCAAUUUGAUGACGAUAAUGCCCUUAGAUAUUAUAUUAUAGAUUAAUAUCGACUUGUUAAUUAAUGAAAGCAGUGACGAACUACUUUCUGGAUUUCGCGAAAACAAAUACAAUGAAUCGCGUGUUUGCUCAUAUUUAUUCGUUUCCACAAUAAGGAACAACUGGAAUAAUAAAGAAAGUCAAGCA